rnacentral:rRNA from 1 species
CCCAGUAACGGCGAGUGAAGCGGCAACAGCUCAAAUUUGAAAUCUGGCUCCCCCCUGGGGGGCCCGAGUUGUAAUUUGGAGAGGAUGCUUUGGGCGCGGCGCCUUCCGAGUUCCUUGGAACAGGACGCCAGAGAGGGUGAGAGCCCCGUACGGUCGGACGCCUAGCCCGUGCAAAGCUCCUUCGACGAGUCGAGUAGUUUGGGAAUGCUGCUCAAAAUGGGAGGUAAAUUUCUUCUAAAGCUAAAUACCGGCCAGAGACCGAUAGCGCACAAGUAGAGUGAUCGAAAGAUGAAAAGCACUUUGAAAAGAGGGUUAAACAGCACGUGAAAUUGUUGAAAGGGAAGCGCCUGUGGCCAGACGUGCGCCCCGCGGACCACCCGUCGCUCUGCGGCGGGGCACGCCGCGGCGGCGCAGGCCAGCAUCGGCUCUCCCAGGGGGACAAAGGCCGCGGGAACGUAGCUCCUUCGGGAGUGUUAUAGCCCGCGGCGCCAUGCCUCUGGGGGGGCCGAGGACCGCGCCUUCGGGCAAGGAUGCUGGCGUAAUGGCCACCAGCGACCCGUCUUGAAACACGGACCAAGGAGUCAAGCAUUGGGGCGAGUGUUUGGGUGACAAACCCGCACGCGAAAUGAAAGUGAACGCAGGUGGGAGCCUCCGGGCGCACCACCGACCGAUCCUGAAGUUUUCGGAUGGAUUUGAGUAGGAGCCUUGCCGCUUGGACCCGAAAGA